rnacentral:snRNA from 11 species
AUACUUACCUGGACGGGGUGUAUGGUCGAUCAAGAAGGACCAUGGCCUAGAGAAGUGACCUCCAUUGCACUCAGGAGGGGCACUGCCCUAAGAUCUGCCCAAGUGGCAGAGUCUACGUCAUAAUUUGUGGUAGAGGGGGUUCGCGUCCGCGCGACCCCUAC